GUUAAAUGGUGUGUUAUUAUGGCGGAGGUCUUGUGUUCGAAUUCCUAUGCAGGCAAUGGUAUUAUUUUUUGCUCAGAUUUUGGGAUAGAGUUAUGUAAUAGGGGGAUUCUAAGUAGUGGAUGUGUAGUGCGAAUUACGAGAGAAGAUUAAAGGGAUUUUGGGGGUUAUCGGGAUUUUGUUUUGUUUUUUUCCCAUAACCGAAUUUUGACUCUCUUUUCUAAAA
rnacentral:lncRNA from 1 species